rnacentral:rRNA from 1 species
AACGAACGCUGGCGGCAGGCUUAACACAUGCAAGUCGAGCGCCCCGCAAGGGGAGCGGCAGACGGGUGAGUAACACGUGGGAAUCCACCCAUCCCUGCGGAACAACUCCGGGAAACUGGAGCUAAUACCGCAUACGCCCUACGGGGGAAAGAUUUAUCGGGGGUGGAUGAGCCCGCGUUGGAUUCGCUAGUUGGUGGGGUAAAGGCCUACCAAGGCGACGAUCCAUAGCUGGUCUGAGAGGAUGAUCAGCCACAUUGGGACUGAGACACGGCGCAAACGCCUACGGGAGGCAGCAGUGGGGAAUAUUGGACAAGGGGCGCAAGCCUGAUCCAGCCAUGCCGCGUGAGUGAUGAAGGCCUUAGGGUUGUAAAGCUCUUUCACCGAUGAAGAUAAUGACGGUAGUCGGAGAAGAAGCCCCGGCUAACUUCGUGCCAGCAGCCGCCGUAA